GACGAACGCUGGCGGCGUGCUUAACACAUGCAAGUCGAACGGAAAGGCCCUGCUUUUGUGGGGUGCUCGAGUGGCGAACGGGUGAGUAACACGUGAGUAACCUGCCCUUGACUUUGGGAUAACUUCAGGAAACUGGGGCUAAUACCGGAUAGGAGCUCCUGCUGCAUGGUGGGGGUUGGAAAGUUUCGGCGGUUGGGGUUGGACUCGCGGCUUAUCAGCUUGUUGGUGGGGUAGUGGCUUAACAAGGCUUUGACGGGUAGCCGGCCUGAGAGGGUGACCGGCCACAAUGGGACUGAGGUACGGCCCAGACUCCUACGGAAGGCAGCAGUGGGAGAUAUAGCAAGAUGGGCGGGGGCCGGAUGCAGAAACGCCGCGUGCGGAAUGACGGCCUGCGGGUUGUAAUCCGCUUUAGCCUGUGACGAAGCAUGAGUGACGGUAAUGGGUAAAGAAGCACCGGCUAACUACGUG
rnacentral:rRNA from 1 species